CAACGGCAUUGACUGUGCCCUCUACGUGAUGAGGUUUAUGCAUGACAUAGUCAAUAGGUGCACUGAAGCCCAACACAUUGAGGAGGUUUGUAAGAUUCAAAGGGAAGGCCCUUUGACAAAGGAAGAAGUUGAUGAAAUUCGCGACAUGUGGGCUUUUUUGUGACAUUUGAUGGCAUCUAGGUAGAAUAUAUAAUAUAUAUGUGUUAGUUAGAUAAUGAAUUAGAUUGAGUUUUUUUUUUUUUUUUUUUUA